AAGGAGUCCCUCAGCAACAGAGGUGUUACCGGGGCAACGCGGCCGGGACCCGAGACGUCACCAUGUGACGCCACUUCCGGCGGAAGUGGUCACUCCAGGUGGGCGGACGAACGGGCCCGGAAUGGCGCAGCCAGCGGGAGCCAGACAUGGGGGAGGACGGAAGGGUGUUACCGGGGCAACGCGGCCGGGACCCGAGACGUCACCAUGUGACGCCACUUCCGGCGGAAGUGGUCACACCAGGUGGGCGGACGAACGGGCCCGGAAUGGCGCAGCCAGCGGGAGCCAGACAUGGGGGAGGACGGAAGGGGUGUCUCAUUGUUGGAUUUAGGAUCCAUAUUUUGAUUUUGACCAAGUUGGCUGAUUUUUUGUUCUUUUUUCAAAUUGAUUUGUAACUUCAUUGAUUGACAGGGUGUCUCAUUGUUGGAUUUAGGAUCCAUAUUUUGAUUUUGACCAAGUUGGCUGAUUUUUUGUUCUUUUUUUCAAAUUAAUUUGUAACUUCAUUGAU